GACGAACGCUGGCGGCGUGCUUAACACAUGCAAGUCGAGCGGUAAGGCCCUUUCGGGGGUACACGAGCGGCGAACGGGUGAGUAACACGUGGGUGACCUGCCCUCAGCUCUGGGAUAAGCCCGGGAAACUGGGUCUAAUACCGGAUAUGACUCCAUGACGCAUGUUGUGGGGUGGAAAGCCUUGUGCGGCUGAGGAUGGGCCCGCGGCCUAUCAGCUUGUUGGUGGGGUGAUGGCCACCAAGGCGACGACGGGUAGCCGGCCUGAGAGGGCGACCGGCCACACUGGGACUGAGACACGGCCCAGACUCCUACGGGAGGCAGCAGUGGGGAAUCUUGCGCAAUGGGCGAAAGCCUGACGCAGCGACGCCGCGUGGGGAUGACGGCCUCGGUUGUAAC
rnacentral:rRNA from 1 species